GCAGCGGCAGCCGGAGACCCCUGUGGAUCGGCAUCGCUCUCCCUGACUCACCGAGCGCCUCUGGAGCAAGAGGAUGUGGUGUGUACCGGUCAGGCCGGGCCCCCGACCUCUUGGGGCUCACACCUCUGUCAGGUGCCAGAAACUUAACAAGAUCACGAGUGAUAAGACAACAUCGUGCCAGAGAGAGAUAAGGGCUAAGACGGGAAGAAGAAAACAAGUAAUGGGCCAGAGUUUGGGAGCGGGAAGCAUGGGCGACUUUUUGAGCCAAGACCUGGGUGAUGAGAGGGAGCAGGCCCGGAAGAUCCGCAGCAAAGGCAUUCCAGAAGGAACAGCAAGUGCAAAGGCCCUGCGUGGAGUGGCUGACUGGACCCAGAGGUGUGUGGGAGACGGUGGUGACAGGAGGCUGAAGAGGCAGGGCCAGGCCCUGAGGGCCUUUCAGGAAGUGUCUUGAUCCACCGUUGAAAACACUGAAUUGAGGACCAAGCCCCACCAGGAAAUGGAGCCAGAAUCCCAGGCCAGCUCUGCGUUACUCCACAGCCGCAUACUCUUUUUGCUACCUUGCCUCUCACCAGGUGAUCUCCACCCCCGGGAAUUUAUCUUUAAGGAAACGACUCAGUAACAGCCAAGAGCUCUUUGGAGAAGAAUGUGCUGCGGCAUUACUUACAGUAAUGAAAAAGUGGAAAGCAUCCAAAUCCUGACCACAAAAGAACAAGGAAGGAAAUCUUGGCCCAUCACAUAGGAAUCUCUUGCAGUUGUUGAAAAUGCUAACUAAAAGACUACUGUGGAGGCAUGGGGAAAUUCCAGUGAUGAUGCAUUAAAAACGCCCUAGGCAAAAUGGUCUGUACACCAUGAUUACAAUUGUGUCAAAAUAUGGCAAAUGAAAAAAAAAUUACUGUAUUUUAUCUGUUUGAAAACAAUAGCAUAUCCAAUCUAACAAUGUAUAUAAAUACACCCUGAAGAUUGUAAACAUUGUAAAUUAAAAAAAAAAAAAAA